GUGGAUAGAAGGAGAUGCUUCAUGCUGCUUUGUCUCAUCUGGGAGUAUUGAGAUGCAGAUUUUCUUUGUCUCCUUUCUUUUCACUCCCGCUAUCUGAGGACUUUGUUUACAGUUUGUAUGCAAAUUGAGGAAAAAAUCUGGGCCCAUUUGAAGACUCUGAGGGAAGAGCGACAAAAGCUCCAGGGAUUUAAAGUGAGUGAAGAAAAGAGAAGCCAGGAGUAUCUGAGACUGUCCGAUUUGGCCAAUGUACAAGGCAGAGGGGCAUUGCUGGCAUAUGAUGGCAUAUAUCACAAUCAGCAUCUGGGUCCAGUACAGCAAGAAGUUAUUUAAAAAACUCUGCUCACUAUACAAAAUGUUCUGACCCCCAAAGGAUCAGCCACAU